CGCACCUUGCGCUCCUUGGUAUUCCGAGGAGCAUGCCUGUUUGAGUGUCAGUAAUUUCUCAACUCCACUGGCUUUUGUUAGCUGGUUGGGACUUGGAUAUGGAGGUGUUGCGGGCCUUUGUAGGUCGGCUCCUCUGAAAUGCAUUAGUGGAACCGUUUGCGAUCCGUCACAGGUGUGAUAAUUAUCUACGCCAGUGGGUUGCUCUCUGUGUUGUUCAGCUGCCAACUGUCCGAAAGGACAAUCAUUUACUGAAUAUUUGACCUCAAAUCAGGUAGGACUACCCGCUGAACUUAA
rnacentral:misc_RNA from 1 species